rnacentral:tRNA from 1 species
GCCCCCAUAGCUCAACGGAUAGAGUAGACCCGUCCUAAGGGUAUGAUGUAGGUUCAAUUCCUGCUGGGGGCA